UCAAGUAAGUAAGGGCGUACGGCGGAUGCCUUGGCCAUAUCAGCCGAAGAAGGACGCGAUAAGCUGCGAUAAGCUGCGGUGAGGUGCAAGUAACCUUUGACCCGCAGAUCUCCGAAUGGGGAAACCCGGCAGCAGUAGUGCUGUCAUCCUCUAUGAGGAAGGGCACCCGGUGAACUGAAACAUCUAAGUAGCCGGAGGAAAAGGAAUCAACAGAGAUACCCCUAGUAGCGGCGAGCGAACGGGGCAGAGCCCAAACCGGGAUGGGAAACCAAUCCGGGGUUGUGGACUGCUAUCAAAUGCAUGAGUGAAGCAGAAUGAGCUGGGAAGCUCAGCCAGAGAGAGUGAGAGCCUCGUAGGCGUAAGCGAAUGCAUGGAGCAGGAUCCGGAGUACCACGGGACACGAGAAACCCUGUGGGAAGCUGGGGGGACCACCCUCCAAGGCGAAACACUGAUAUGGACCGAUAGCGCAUAGUACCGUGAGGGAAAGGUGAAAAGAACCCCGGGAGGGGAAUGAAAGAGAACCUGAAACCGUAUGUCUACAAGCAGUCGAAGACCUUUAUAUGGUCGACGGCGUGCCUAUUGAAGAAUGAACCGGCGAGUUACUUCAGCUAGCGAGGUUAAGCAGGAAAUGCGGAGCCGCAGCGAAAGCGAGUCUGAACAGGGCGUAUAGUUAGUUGGAGUAGACCCGAAACCACAGUGAUCUACCCAUGUCCAGGUUGAAGCACAGGUAAAAAUGUGUGGAGGACCGAACCAGUGAGCGUUGAAAAGCUUUUGGAUGAGAUGUGGGUAGGGGUGAAAUGCCAAUCGAACGUGGAGAUAGCUGGUUCUCCCCGAAAUAGCUUUAGGGCUAGCCUCAUGGCGAGAGUACAGGCGGUAGAGCACUGAACGGGGUAGGGGCCUAUCCGGCUACUGAACCUAAUCAAACUGCGAAUGGCUGUACUUAUCCAUGGGAGUCAGACUGUGAGUAAUAAGGCCCAUAGUCAAGAGGGAAACAGCCCAGACCAACAGCUAAGGUCCCCAAUGCCGUACUAAGUGGCGAAGGAUGUGGAAUUUCGAAAACAACCAGGAUGUUGGCUCAGAAGCAGCCACCAUUAAAAGAGUGCGUAAUAGCUCACUGGUCGAGAGACUCUGCGCCGAAGAUGUCCGGGGCUAAAGUACGGAACCGAAGCUUUGGCAAUUAACAUAAGUUAAUUGGGUAGGGGAGCGUUCCUGCAUGGGAGAAGCCUGACCGGAAGGACAGGUGGACAGGCAGGAAGAGAGAAUGCCGGUAUGAGUAGCGAAAAGAAGGGUGAGAAUCCCUUCCACCGAAAGCCUAAGGGUUCCUGGGCAACGAUCGUCGUCCCAGGGUAAGUCGGGACCUAAUCCGAGGCGGAGACGCGUAGGAGAUGGACAACAGGUUGAAAUUCCUGUACUGGCUGAGGCCGUUUGAGCGAAGGAGUGACACAGGAAGGAAGGCGCGCGUGCGAUUGGAAGAGCACGUCCAAGCAGGUAGGUCGGGAGACAGGCAAAUCCGUUUCCCGUAAGGCCGAGAUGCGAUGGGGAGCUUCUGGAGACAGAAGCGAAGGGGCUGGCACUAAACUGUCGAGAAAAGCUUCUAGUGAGGACUCAGGCACCCGUACCGAAACCGACACAGGUAGGCAGGAUGAGAAUUCUAAGGUGCGCGGGAAAACCCUCGUUAAGGAACUCGGCAAAAUAUAUCCGUAACUUCGGGAAAAGGAUAACCCAGCGUACGUGAAGUGCAGAAGCGCAUGGAGCGGAGAUGGGUGGCAGAAGAGAGGCCCAAGCGACUGUUUACCACAAACACAGGCGUCUGCUAAAGCGAAAGCUGAUGUAUAGAUGCUGACACCUGCCCGGUGCUGGAAGGUUAAGAGGAAGUGUUAGCGCAAGCGAAGCAGUGAAUUGAAGCCCCAGUAAACGGCGGCCGUAACUAUAACGGUCCUAAGGUAGCGAAAUUCCUUGUCGGGUAAGUUCC
rnacentral:rRNA from 1 species